rnacentral:lncRNA from 1 species
UCCAAAUUUUGUCCUUGUGAUUCAGCUCAAAUGCCAUCUCCUCCAGGAAGCCUUCCCUGCUCUUAUCUGGUAAGCAUUUGAGUACCUAUAGUGCCCAUAGUCCACCACUGGAGGAGACACCUUGUUUUUGUUUUGUUUUGUUUUGUUUUUUGAUGUACCUCAGCCUUCCUAGUAGCUGGGAUGACAGGUGCACGCCACCAUGUUCAUCUAAUUUUUUGUAUUUUUAGUAGAGACGGGGUUUUACCGUGUUGGCCGGGCUGCUCUCAAACUCCUGACCUCAGGUAAUCCACCCACCUCGGCCUCCCAAAGCACUGGGAUUACAGG